GCCACCCUGUCCCCAGCACAGCAUGGCUCACAGGACUGUUUGAAGGAGCUCUGAUGUCUUCUGGCAGGGUCAUCUUGAUGGGUCCCCUGUUUCCUGGAGGUUCCCCCAGGGCAGGGUGUCCCCUCCUGCACUACCCCUCCCUGUACCAGCAGCCUGGAUAGCAUGGGGUGCCUGGCUGAGACUCUGCCCAGCUCUUCCUCUUCUGUUUAUGCCCCACCCUUAGCAGUGGCCUUGUUGCAUGGUGGCCCAGGCUUUGCCUGCGAGAAGAACCCCAACAUCACUGAGAACCUCAUGCAAUGUCUUUUGGACUGGUUAAGUGGUUCAUCUUGGUGCACGGGGUUGGGGGAAAUUUUGACCUUCUAGAAACCACGGCCCCUCCCUCCACCUCCUGUGUGUCCUUCCAGAUCUUCAAUAAUGAGCUCAUCUUUCCUAGCCGUCUGCUCCAGGUGGUCGUCUCCAGCUGUACCGCUGCAGGUCAAAGCUGGUUUCUCCCUCCAUUCUGAUCUUUAAUAUAAGCAAUAUCCUCCCAGCCGGGGCUCCUACGACAGCAGUUUGCUUCAAGAGCACAAAUUAAAGUGAUGCCACCAAGGGCAUGAAUGGUCUUAGCAGAGUCAACAUGGGGAGCAUUGCGCAUUCCCUGUGUAAUAUUAAGAAUGACUAAGUGGAGGCACUGCCCUUCCAGCCAAGCCUGG
rnacentral:lncRNA from 1 species